CCUACGGGAGGCAGCAGUGAGGAAUAUUGGUCAAUGGGCGUAAGCCUGAACCAGCCAAGUCGCGUGAGGGAUGAAGGUUCUAUGGAUCGUAAACCUCUUUUAUAAGGGAAUAAAGUGCGGGACGUGUCCCGUUUUGUAUGUACCUUAUGAAUAAGGAUCGGCUAACUCCGUGCCAGCAGCCGCGGUAAUACGGAGGAUCCGAGCGUUAUCCGGAUUUAUUGGGUUUAAAGGGUGCGUAGGCGGCCUUUUAAGUCAGCGGUGAAAGUCUGUGGCUCAACCAUAGAAUUGCCGUUGAAACUGGGAGGCUUGAGUAUGUUUGAGGCAGGCGGAAUGCGUGGUGUAGCGGUGAAAUGCUUAGAUAUCACGCAGAACACCGAUUGCGAAGGCAGCUUGCUAGGCCGGAUCUGACACUGAUGCACGAAAGCGUGGGGAUCGAACAGGAUUAGAUACCCUAGUAGUC
rnacentral:rRNA from 1 species